rnacentral:rRNA from 1 species
CCUACGGGUGGCAGCAGUGGGGAAUAUUGCGCAAUGGGCGAAAGCCUGACGCAGCGACGCCGCGUGAGGGAUGAAGGCUUUCGGGUUGUAAACUUCUUUGACAGGGGAAGAGCAGAAGACGGUACCCUGAAAACAAGCCACGGCUAACUACGUGCCAGCAGCCGCGGUAAUACGUAGGUGGCAAGCGUUGUCCGGAUUUACUGGGUGUAAAGGGCGUGUAGCCGGGAAGGCAAGUCAGAUGUGAAAUCUGGAGGCUCAACCUCCAAAUUGCAUUUGAAACUGUUUUUCUUGAGUACUGGAGAGGCAGACGGAAUUCCUUGUGUAGCGGUGAAAUGCGUAGAUAUAAGGAGGAACACCAGUGGCGAAGGCGGUCUGCUGGACAGCAACUGACGGUGAGGCGCGAAAGCGUGGGGAGCAAACAGGAUUAGAUACCCGAGUAGUC